AUUCAAAGUCCCAACUCUCAGUCCAACACUAGUGACUUUCCUCUUUUUUUUCCUAUGUUUAAAUGCAAAACACAUUUUCCCAUACUCACAUUUGGACAAAUGUAUUUUUGUUUUUGCAUUAGUGUGACGACAUUGACACAAGGAGGAGCGUGUUCCCAAAAGUUUGGCGAUCUACUUGACGGAAGAUCCAGACUCUUUCUUCAAGGAAAGUUUUGUAAGUUUAUCUUUCUUUAUUACCCAGCUUGAAAUAGACCAUUUCACACCAAAAUGUUGUUUGAUGAGACACUGUAAUCAAUUGGUUCAAACCUAUGUCUUAUUCUUAAGAAUGCAUCAUGUCUGGAUCAUCUGAAGGUACUCAUAAGAACCUGACACUGGAGGUCACUUUUUAAUGACCAGACCUCUUCCACUGAAAACGACAUCGCAGAAAGCAUUCCAGCUACAGUCGGCCAUCUCAGAAGAAAUGGGAUUGGAUGUUGCCGUUGUAAUUGAAGGUGUCCAAGACCUCAGGAACAUGCAUUAGACACAUUAGAAGAACUCAUUUUCUACCAAACUAAAUUGUGGUAAUUGGCUUUGAGGUCUUUUGAAUUCCUACAAAUCCUAAAGUUUUUGCCAUUUAUUUUUCUCCUUUUUUAUUUCCCCUUUUCAAGAUCUGCUUAAAAUCUUGUAGAGUGAAACUGGUUUUAGUGUAAAGUCCACAUUUUAUUUUUUUUUAAAAAGUUUAUACAUUACAAAUUGAUUUUUAAACUGUCAGGGUAUGCAUCUUCAUGUAUUGGGACUGAGUUUUAUCCUCAGUUUAUUUUUACGUAUUUUCAUUUUUCAGAAGUGCUUCUAUUUUUCUUUUAUUUUGAAAUAUUAAUUUUAUAUCUAAAGUAAAUUGUAUGUUGGCACACUUUUGAAAGGGUUUCCUUGAACAUGUAAUUGUAUUUUUCAGAACUGCAUUUCAGAGACUAAAUAAUGUUUGUUUUGCUGUACUUGAAUAUAAAUAAAAUUGAGUUCAUCAAA